UACGAAGGGGGCUAGCGUUGUUCGGAAUUACUGGGCGGAAAGCGCACGUAGGCGGCGCAGCAAGUUGGGGGUGAAAUCCCGAGGCUCAACCUCGGAAUUGCCUUCAAAACUGCUGUGCUCGAGUUCGGAAGAGGUGAGUGGAAUUCCCAGUGUAGAGGUGAAAUUCGUAGAGAUUGGGAAGAACACCAGUGGCGAAGGCGGCUCACUGGUCCGCAACUGACGCUGAGGUGCGAAAGCGUGGGGAGCAAACAGG
rnacentral:rRNA from 1 species